UAAUGUAAUCCCUACAACGUUAAUGCACUGGAUCCCAUUAUAAAUCUACAAUUAAGCACACUUGGGAUAGAUUAAUACUUGAAUGGGUGACCUCUCGGGAAGUCCUAGUGUUUUACAUGAC
rnacentral:rRNA from 1 species